GCUGUGCAGAAAUCCCUCCUUCUGGGGCAGCAUGGGCGCAGGGAGAGCUUCUCCCUGGGUUGUUAUCCCCUGGCAAAGGGUCAGGAACUGUCUACAAUUUUAAUACCCAUUAACAUUAAUGCUAAAGGAGUCACACAACCUGUUUCCUGGCACCUCUGGCUUCUCACCUCAUCAACUGCUGCCUAGCAGAGCGAGACCAGAAUAGCCUCCCUAUCACUCCUGCAAGGCAAUUUUGGCUGAUAGCUCACUCGUGAGGGUGACAAAGACCCCAGCUGAUACUGGCAUCCUGAAACUGCCCAGGUCCCUGUAUGCUGCUAGCCUGUUUACUGCAAUGGUGUCGGCAGAACUCAUCACAGAGUAGUGUGGGGAUAUCUUGUAUCACAGAAACAAAGCUGCCAUCCCUAGAAAUGUCCGGGAGAGGACUGCAGAGUAUCUCCAUGAGAAAUCCACUGAGAUGGCUCAAGAGGAUAAAGGGGACAUACCUGUUCAGAAAAACAAAGUACUCUGCAUGGGGAGAAUUGUACCCCUGCCUCACCCAGUAAACCAAGGAAAGGAAAAGCAAAUGUUUUCUCUACCUCUUUCUCGUCAUCUCUGUCCGGGCACCAGACAGUGACCUACUGUGUAAUUUGCACUUCCUGUUUAUUUUUUACUUCAAGUGGGAAAUCCAAAGUCAAUGCCUUUGUUCUGUAAAUAUGCAGAUGUGAUGGGCACCAUUUUUAAACAGGGAAGAUGAGUAUGUGGCGAAGGGAGAGGCAUUUUGUUGUUUCGGGCAACAAAAAGGCCAAGAUGACCCAUGACUUCUUUCCUGCUCCAGGCAGGAGUGUAUGUAGUAGCUGCCUGGCACAUGCAUGGGGCCAGCAUAGGUGGAUGGAUUAGUAGGUGUGCUCACCAAGUGGAGACAGCUGAAGUCAUAGAUGUCUGAAGUGAAUGCACCAAUGACAGCCUUUUCUGCCCUGAAUUAUACAGAACACCUGUUUAAAGAGAAGCACAAAAAUGCUUUAAAGCAAUAUAUUCUGUACCAGCACUCCAAAUGCAAACUGCUUCAUUAAGUGAAUCGAACUAUUUUCACCUUACCGCUAUAUUGAAAUAAAAUAUGCUGCCCUAAUGGAAGAUGCUGAUCUACAGUAAACCAAAACAAAAGAAGAUGGCAGCGGGUCUACUGCAUUUGAAAGAGAGACUAUUGGUUUCUGUCUCAUCAUUACAGGGGGGCUAGAUGGCUCAAAUGGUUUAUAGUGCAAUAACAUUUUGUCCCUGGAAAUACAAUGGGAACUCAAAAUGCAACAGAAAAGAAAGAAGAAACCCUGUUAACACUGCCAUAUUUAAGGAUAGAGUGAUAGCUUAUGUUUUUCUUAUGUCUGUAUCUCUUUAUCUCCAACUGAGAGUCAUAGCAUUUCAAUUGAUCAUCAGUCAGGAUCAUCUGUUGCCACCUGAAUGAUCCAUCUGGUCUUGAUUGUUGCAUAGCUUUCUCCAUGCUAACUGCUGAGCUGCCGUGUAACAAAGCACUGGAGCUACGUUCUGCUGGAUCUGUCUGCAACAAGUCUGUGAAGUGCCUGGGAAGAACUGAAACAUAUCACACAGGCUCCCUUCAGCUCCCACUGAAAGAAGUGCAAGGAUGUUUGUAAACUGUCAGGUGCAAGCAAUGCUGCUGGUUGGAAUAGGUAGUGGGAAGAAGUCAAUUAUAUUUGUAACAC